GAUGAAGAACGUAGCGAAAUGCGAUAAGUAGUGUGAAUUGCAGAAUUCAGUGAAUCAUCGAAUCUUUGAACGCACAUUGCGCCCUUUGGUAUUCCAAAGGGCACGCCUGUUCGAGCGUCAUUUGUACCCUCAAGCUUUGCUUGGUGUUGGGCGUCUUGUCUCUAGCUUUGCUGGAGACUCGCCUUAAAGUAAUUGGCAGCCGGCCUACUGGUUUCGGAGCGCAGCACAAGUCGCACUCUCUAUCAGCAAAGGUCUAGCAUCCAUUAAGCCUUUUUUUCAACUUUUGACCUCGGAUCAGGUAGGGAUACCCGCUGAACUUAAGCAUAUCAAUAAGCGGAGGA
rnacentral:misc_RNA from 1 species